rnacentral:rRNA from 1 species
UACGUAGGGGGCAAGCGUUGUCCGGAUUUAUUGGGCGUAAAGAGCUCGUAGGCGGUUUGGUAAGUCUGGUGUGAAAUCUCCACGCUCAACGUGGAGGGGCCACCCGAUACUGCCAUGACUGGAGUCCGGUAGAGGAGUGUGGAAUUCCCGGUGUAGUGGUGGAAUGCGUAGAGAUCGGGAAGAACAUCAGUGGCGAAGGCGGCCUGCUGGGCUGUUGCUGACGCUGAGGCGCGACAGCGUGGGGAGCAAACAGG